rfam:Myotis brandtii contig307992, whole genome shotgun sequence.
GGCAGUUCUCGAGUGAUGUACUCCAGAAUCAGGCUCCCUCCUCUCUGGUUCCGGGUGCAUCACCUGAGAACCGCA